CUCUGACCCCCCCUCACACUCACACGCUUGUCCUCUUCUGCUCUUUCUUCUGUUUCAGUCUAGGUUUGGGCUGAGCUGCUCCUGCUGCAGCCCCCUAUAAGAAAUACAGAGGUCACCUUCGGGUUCUGACUUGAGACACCAAAUGCUUGGAGAUGCUCAAAGCUGCAAGUUCAAAUUACUGUGGAGAGAAUGAAGACGUGCACAUACUUUAGUUGGGAAGACGUUAGUUGUGACUUGUUGUAACGUGCUGGCUCAGGAAGGAUUUGAAGAAACUCAAUCGGAGGCAGGUGUUUGAGGAUGCCUUUCAGAGAACGGCAACGCCGUCCUGCUUCUCCAUCUCCAGGUCCAGGAUAGUCUGGGUGAAGACCAUACGACUUCACGGUGCGCUACACCACUUUGCACCCGAUCCUGUGCCUUAGCGGGAACAUGACUGACAGGGAUGAGAGAGUGCAAAUCGUGUUGUGCAAGCCACUACUACUAUCAUCAGUUCUUCUGCUCAGGUUUUCGGUCCUUAAGUCUCAAGAUGGAGGCUCCAUUCGGUCUUCCGUGACUGGAGACUCCAUCCCUGGUCCAAGCUGCACUGUCUCUCAUUGGAUUCCUUCUCAGACCUGAUUCUUCUCCCUCUCCUCCUACCAACCUCUUGCUCUCCCCUCCCUGCCAACUGCCACACAGAAAUACAUACACCUCCUAAUGCUUCAGUUUGGGAGCACAGUGUGAAGGAAGGAAAUCUGAGAAAAGGUGGAUACGAUUGAGUAAAUGAGGCUGGGAUGUGAGGGAGUUCAGAUGGGUCAGUUCAGAUCCUCGACGGCACUCAAGGGCGACUAAUGAAAUAGUUCAAAACUAACAUUUUGUUAACGUAAGCAUGUGUGUUAUAUCAAGAAAUCUGACUAAAUGUGGGCUGGAAUUUAAUAUUUUCCAGCGAUUUUGCCGGGAAAACUAGUUGCUAAAUCCGGUCAUUAGGACUCUAAUAGAAACCUUUAUCAAUCUGCUUUAACUCCAGGACUUCAGAUACAAUUGCUGGGGACCCCCCAGAAUACACAUUUCUGUUUUUUCCAAGGACAGACAUCUUGUAAAAGACGAGCUAUAUUAGCAGGAAUCUUCUCGAUUGAAAACAGGAGUAACUUUAGAAACCAGGGUUUUGCAUUAAUCAGGAGAUUUGGUUCAGUUAGAGACUAACAUUCUGAGUAGGAUUUAAAUUUGGAUUCAUUACUUCCAUUCCUGAGACUCACGGCACUAAUUUAAUCACUGCAUCGUAAGUGAUGCUGCUUCUUUGAAGUUUCGGGGGAACAUCUGACCGAUGUUCAGUGAUGCAAGACGCAGUUCACUGAACCUGCAUUUCAUACUGCUAGUGCAGGCUUUUCCUCCAGUUUCUAUGGAAACCGGGGAUCUGUAUUCCAAUCACAUUGCCUGAAGGGCCUGCCACAAUCAGGAAAACUGAGUCGGUAGCACGGUGGAUUCUUAAAAUUUCGGAAUUCCAAAACGCUGUCAACAUAUCUGAAGGACCAUAGGGAUGAACACUCAGUACAAAAGUACUGAUAGAAAAUAGCAGGGUCCAAUAUCUUUUUGGAUAAGACCUAACUGGAUUAUAACAAGCCCGCUUGAAAAGAUCAGGUUAUGCACCGUUCGAAGAAGCACAGACCGGGCACAGAGAUCGGGCUUGCGGUGCCAUGAAUUUAGUAUUUCUCCUGCUAUGAGAACGAUAUACUUGGCAGUGAAAAUGCCUCUUCUCUGAUGGGGUAACUCUGAUCUCCCUGUGAGUGUGUUUGCUGCACAAAGCUCUGCUCUUCUAUGCCUUGUCACAUAAGGGGACCAUCCUAUUUUGUUGCAAACGAAGGGGUUAUCCUGCAUUCCCCGAAUUUUUUUUUUUAACUUUAAGCAGGCUAAUUACACGGCUAUUGCGUAGCCCUCCACUUGUU